UUUAUGGAGAGUUUGAUCCUGGCUCAGGAUGAACGCUGGCGGCGUGCCUAAUACAUGCAAGUCGAGCGAACGGACGAGAAGCUUGCUUCUCUGAUGUUAGCGGCGGACGGGUGAGUAACACGUGGAUAACCUACCUAUAAGACUGGGAUAACUUCGGGAAACCGGAGCUAAUACCGGAUAAUAUUUUGAACCGCAUGGUUCAAAAGUGAAAGACGGUCUUGCUGUCACUUAUAGAUGGAUCCGCGCUGCAUUAGCUAGUUGGUAAGGUAACGGCUUACCAAGGCAACGAUGCAUAGCCGACCUGAGAGGGUGAUCGGCCACACUGGAACUGAGACACGGUCCAGACUCCUACGGGAGGCAGCAGUAGGGAAUCUUCCGCAAUGGGCGAAAGCCUGACGGAGCAACGCCGCGUGAGUGAUGAAGGUCUUCGGAUCGUAAAACUCUGUUAUUAGGGAAGAACAUAUGUGUAAGUAACUGUGCACAUCUUGACGGUACCUAAUCAGAAAGCCACGGCUAACUACGUG
rnacentral:rRNA from 1 species